rnacentral:lncRNA from 1 species
CUUUGCUCUGAGUCAUCCCUCUCUAAUGGCAAUUUUAAGGUCACUCCUGAACAUGGUUUGCCACACUGUUUGAAGAAAUGUGCACGUAUCCAUCUGCAAAAAGCCAGCUGUCCAGGAAGCAGUUCUAUUGUAAAGAGUCUACUCCUGCCUUUCAGGGAAAUAUGACCAGGGUUCUGGCUGACCAGCAGAGCUAUAAUUUUAUUCCAGCAACACCAAUAAGCAACUGGUAUGUGACCACGAGAAGAGAACUUCAGCAUUGCAAGACCAGAACACUGGCUAUCAAAAAGAUUAAUCACAAGGGGAUAUAUUGUUGCCUGAAUAUUUUAACAACUGGCAUGGAAAUAUUCUACCUUCCAAGAAAACUCCCUCCCAGAACAGCCAAG